rnacentral:rRNA from 1 species
GACGAACGCUGGCGGCGUGCUUAACACAUGCAAGUCGAACGAUGAACCCGGAGCUUGCUCUGGGGGAUUAGUGGCGAACGGGUGAGUAACACGUGAGUAACCUGCCCUGGACUCUGGGAUAAGCGUUGGAGACGACGUCUAAUACCGGAUAGGACCUUGGAUCGCAUGAUCUGGGGUGGAAAGUUUUUUCGGUCUGGGAUGGACUCGCGGCCUAUCAGCUUGUUGGUGAGGUAAUGGCUCACCAAGGCGUCGACGGGUAGCCGGCCUGAGAGGGUGACCGGCCACACUGGGACUGAGACACGGCUCAGACUCCUACGGGAGGCAGCAGUAGGGAAUAUUGCACAAUGGGCGAAAGCCUGAUGCAGCAACGCCGCGUGCGGGAUGACGGCCUUCGGGUUGUAAACCGCUUUUAGUAGGGAAGAAGGGCUUCGGCUUGACGGUACCUGCAGAAAAAGGACCGGCUAACUACGUG